rnacentral:lncRNA from 1 species
CCUCAGCCUUUUACAAACGACCCCUAAAACAUAUAUACAAAAUGACCCUUUACACAAAUAGCCCCAUUACACAGAUAGCCCCAUUACGCAUAUAGCCUAUUACACAUAUUGCCUAUUAUUGGGCUCAGAUAUGACUCCAUAAUUGACUAAGAAUAGUCUUUCUAGUUUUAUCAUCAUAGCCCUCCUUAAUCUGUAAUAUAUACAGAGAAUAUGUACAAAAUAUACACAUGUACAUAUUCAUAUCUCAACACCCCCCCUCAAGUUGAAGGGGGAGACCACCAUCAACUUGGACAAAAGUGGAGAAAGAGCAGUCCCGGAUAAGGGCUUAGUCAGCAAGUCAGCCAGCUGCCGAGAAGUAGGAACAUGAGAUAGCUUGAGAAAACCAGUGUGCAACAAGUUCCGAACAAAGUGACAAUCCACCUCAAUGUGUUUGGUACGUUCAUGAAAAACUGAAUUGUUAGCAAUGUGAACAGCAGCUUGACUAUCACAAAAUAAAGAGAUAGGAGAAGGAACAGAUACCCCAAGAUCUUCAAGUAAACGAGAGAGCCAAGUCAAUUCAGCUGUAACCUUGCUAAGAGCUCUAUAUUCUGCCGCAGCAGAAGAAAGAGAGACAACAUGUUUUUUCUUCGACUUCCAACUGAUUAAACUGCCACCCAAAAGGAUACAAAAACCAGUAACAGAAGGUCUAGUAUCAGGGCAAGCAGCCCAGUCACUGUCAGAAUAUCCAGUCACAGAAAAAUCAGCAUUAUCAGAGUAAAACAGACCCAAAGAAGGAGUGCCUUUAAGAUAUCGCAAAACAUGCAUGGCAGCAGACAUAUGGGGAACCCUGGGGCAUUUAAGAAAUUGACUCAGAUGUUGCACGGCAAAGCAUAUAUCAGGUCGAGUAUGAGUUAAGAACAAUAAUUUGCCAACAAGACUCCUGAACUGGUCAGUUUGGGGCAUUUAAGGAAUUGACUCAGAUGUUGCACUGCAAAGCAUAUGUCAGGUCUAGUAUGUGUUAAGAACAAUAAUUUGCCAACAAGACUCCUGAACUGGUCAGGAGAGGGCAAAAUAUCACCAGAAUCAGCAUGUAACUUAAUGGAAAUGUCUAGAGGAGAAACAACAGGGGAAACAUGAACACAAUCAAAGUCAUGUAGCAAAUCAGUAACAUACUUAUGCUGAUUUAGGUGUAUCCCAGCAGGGACAUGUUGCACCUCAAGACCCAAGAAAUAAUGCAAUGACCCCAAAUCCUUGAUUUUAAACUUGUCAUCCAGGAAGAGUUUUAGGGCAGCAAUCUCAUCACAGUCAGUACCAGUAAUUAUAAUGUCAUCAACAUAGACAGCUACCACCACAAGGGAACCAGGAGUACCUUUCAGGAAUAAAAAAUAGUCAUUCAAAGAAUGGCUAUAACCUCUGGAAUUAAGGGCAGAUGACAGUUUAGCAUACCAUUGCCUGGAGGCUUGCCUAAGCCCAUAUAAAGAUUUCUUGAGUUUACAAACCAGAGGAAGAAGAAGUAGAGGGAGAAGUAGAAUCAGAAACAAUCAAACCUGGGGGAAGUUUCAUGUAAACUUCCUCAUCUAAAUCACCAUGAAGGAAAGCAUUAUUGACAUCAAGCUGAAACAUAGGCCAGUGGUUUUUGACAGCCACAGCAAUAAGGCAUUUGAUUGAAGUCAUCUUAACAACAGGAGAAAAAGUGUCAGUAAAAUCAACACCCUCAACUUGAGUAUCACCCCUAAUAACCAGCCUUGCUUUAUACCUUUCAAUAGUACCAUCAGAUUUGUAUUUGAUUUUGUAAACCCACUUACAGCCAAUAGGUUUCAUCUUAACAACAGGAGAAAAAGUGUCAGUAAAAUCAACACCCUCAACUUGAGUAUCACCCCUAAUAACCAGCCUUGCUUUAUACCUUUCAAUAGUACCAUCAGAUUUGUAUUUGAUUUUGUAAACCCACUUACAGCCAAUAGGUUUCUUACCAGGAGGGAGUUGUACAAUGUCCCAAGUGUGGUUAGCUUCCAAGGCAUCAAAUUCCUGCCUCAUGGCAUCCUGCCAAGCUGGGACAGAUGCAGCUUGAGAGUAAUACAUAGGUUCAGAUUCCAAAUGAGAAGAAGAAGAGCCAGAAAAUGCAGGAAGUUGGCAGACAUAAUCUUUUAGGUAGGAAGGAGGGUUGUGGUGUCUAGUGGAUUUCCUGGGUAUGGUAACAGGUUGAGAAAGGGGUAAGUCAGGAGAAGGAAUAUCAGGAUUGAGAGAGGAAGGAACACUGGAAGGAGAAGAGUCAGGUAAGGGAACAAUAUGUUGGAGAAUAUCAUCAGAGAAGGGAAUAGGUGGAGGAGGUGAAACAGGUGUGGGUGCUGUUUUAAAAGGAAAAAGGUUUCAUGGAAGACAACAUCUCUAGAUACAAAGCAUUUCUUAGAAUUCAAAUCAUACAAUUUGUAUCCUUUCUUACCAAAAGGAUAACCCAGAAAGACACAAGAAUGAGCUCUAGAUUUUAGCUUAUCCCUUUGAGGGAUAGGAACAACAGCAUAAGCGAGACAACCAAAAGCCCUCAAGUGAGAAUAAGAUGGGGGGGGAUAACCCAAAAAGACACAAGAAUGAGCUCUGGAUUUUAGCUUAUCCCUUUGAGGGAUAGGAACAGCAGCAUAAGCCAGUCAACCAAAAUCCCUCAGAUGAGAAUAAGAUGGGGGAGAGCCAUGUAGAAUUUCAUGAGGUGACUUAUGGUGAAGAACUCUGGAUGGGAGUCUGUUAAUAAGAUAAGUGGCAGUUAACAAGCAAUCCCCCCAAAAUGAUACAGGCAAACCAGACUGGAAAAGAAGGGCUCUACAUGUUUCAAGUAAAGUUCUGUGUUUUCUUUCAACAACUCCAUUUUGUUGAGGGGAUUGAGGACAAGUGGUUUGAUGUACAAUCCCCAGAGUACUAAAAAAAGAAAUCCCUUCAGCACUGGAACCCAGUUCCAGGGCAUUAUCACUCCUCACAGUCUGGACCAUGGUAUGAAACUGAGUUUGAACAUAGGAGAUAAAAGAUUUUAGUAAAGAAAAGGCAUUGCUUUUGGAUCCCAUCAGGUGUGUCCAGGUGGCUCUAGAAAAAUCAUCAACAAUAGUGAGGAAGUAUUUACUGCCAAAGGAAGUAGAAGUAUGAUAAGGUCCCCAAGUGUCUACAUGUGUUAGUUGAAAGGGUUUAGUAGUACUAAUACUACUAUCAGGAAAAGGUAAUCUGGUCUGUUUUUCCAUAGGACAAAUAGAGCAAGGAAAAGGUUGUUUAGCAGCAAAAGGAAAAGAUAAACCAGAAAUAUAUUUCAUAUUAGCAAAAGAAGUAUGUGCUAAUCUCAAAUGCCAAAUGUAAUUCAUAUCAAAAGUAUCAGCAUUAUUACAACUGGAAGUGUGUACAAAUGGGGAUGAGCUAAAAUGUUUGCUAUCAGAAACAACAUCAUCAUUACAAACAUUAGAAACACUAUGCUCAGAAGAAAAAGAUUAUGUACAAUUGAGGAUGGGCCAAAAUGUUUGCUAUCAGAAACAGUAUCAUCAUUACAAACAUUAGAAACAUUAUACUCAGAAAUAAAAGAGGACUCAGAAGAGGCAGAAGAGGAAGGAGGCAACCAAGAAUACUUGUAUAAGCCAGCCUCCUCCUUACCAAGAUCCAGAAGCCUCUUCAGAGAAAGGUCCUGUAACAAGUAAAUGAGACAUGAAGUUGGAGUGAACACAACUAAACAAUUUAAUUGUUUCAUCAAUUUAUGAACAGAAAUCAAAUUAUGCUUGAAGGAAGGGACUAAAAGCACAUUGUGAAGAGUAAGGGAAGGAGUUAGUGCAAAUGAGCCUGUACAGAUCACUUUUACUUUGUAACCAUUAGGAAGGGUAACAAGGUAGGGGACAGUUAAAGGUAUGAUAUUAAAAAGCAGAUUUUUGUCAUAAGUCAUAUGGUUAGAAGCCCCUGAAUCAAUGAUCCAGGUGACAGAAUUAAUGUUUGUAAGCAUGCACAAUUUGGAAUCAGAAACAAACAGGUGACUUUUACUUUGUAACCAUUAGGAAGGGUAACAAGGUAGGGGACAGUUAAAGGUAUGAUAUUAAAAAGCAGAUUUUUGUCAUAAGUCAUAUGGUUAGAAGCCCCUGAAUCAAUGAUCCAGGUGACAGAGUUAAUGUUUGUGAGCAUGCACAGUUUGGAAUCAGAAACAAGACUCUCAGUCAGCAUAGUACCAGCAAAAUUAGCAGAACACAUGGGAGCAGGAGCUUGAUCACUGGAAUCCCUUGAGAGGGUCUGUUGAAUCAAGCUUACAAUUUGAUCACAUUGCUGUCUGCUCAACCCUGGUAUCAUAGUUUGACUGGCAAUAGGAUCCCCAAGAGGAACAGACAAAUUAGAAUUCCCAUUAUCAUUAGACACACAAUCAGGACCAGUAGAAACAUGAGCAGAUGCAGAUUUCCUUCCCUUGGUGUAAGUAUUGUUUUGAGGAAAACCAUGGAGCUUGUAACACUUAUCAAUUAAGUGUCUAGACUUCUUGCAAUAUCUGCAGAAUAAGUUUCCUCUAUUUUGCUCAAAAUUGACUCUCGGUUUGAAAUUAGAACCAGGCAUUUUGCCCUGGUUAGACCCAGCAGAAUGCUUGGUAGUAUACGCAUUGAAAGACAUAGAGUCUGGGUUGAUAUGAGAGACAGAUUCAACUUGUCUCUGCUUUUCAUCAUUGAGUACAAUGUUAUAGACACUGUCAAGGGAAGGAAACUGCUGCAUCAUCAACAAAUUACUCCUUACUCCAAAAUAUGUUUCAUUUAAUCCCAUAAGGAACUGAUAAACCUUGUUUUCAUCAUCUUCCUCGAUUAUACCAUUUCUGGCAGCACAAGUACACCUCUGUCCAUGGUUUGGGCACAUUGUGCCCAAUUCAUCCCACAAACUUUUAAGUUUGUUAAAAUAUGAGGCUAUAUCAAGAGAGCCUUGGGAUGUCUGAGAGAGUUCCCUUUUAAGUUCAAAAAUUUUAGUCUUAUUGGGGGUACCAUAUCUUUUUUCAAGUUACAUCAAGGGAGCCUUGGGAUGUCUGAGAGAGUUCCCUUUUAAGUUAAAAAAUUUGGGUCUUAUUGGGGGUACCAUAUCUUUUUUCGAGUUGAGACCACAUGCUUUGGGCAGUAUCAGAAUAUUGAACACUAUCAGCAACUUGACAAGAUAGAGAAGAGGUCAACCAUGACAUAACUAACAUAUUGCAUCUAUCCCAUAGCCUCUGUUGAGUCACGUUAGUAGAGUAUAGGAACCAUCAAUGAAACAAAUUUUAUUCUUAGCAGACAAAGCCAUAAUUAUCUUACAUUUCCAACCUCCAUAACCACUACCCGAGAAGGGAGUGGGGACAAGGGACACACCAGGUACAUCAGAAGAAUUUACAAACAAAGGGUUAGAAGGGUCCAUAAAACCAGAAUUAUCAGCAUUUGUGUUAGAUUCCAUAUUCAGAUGAAUUAAUUUGUCAACAAGUAUAUUGAAACCGAAACAGAUUGUUCACAAAUAUCACCAAAUAUCAAUAUUCACAACCGAAACAGAUUAUUCACAAAUAGAAUCAAACAAUCGCACACAACCAAAGAAUAGGAUCAGUGUUACCAUCCUUCUUCGCAACCGGAGAAGAUCGGCCUUUUAACAACAGAUAAAACCCUAGGUACAAGGCUAGGAACAACCGUCAAAAUUUGCCGGAGAUACUGUCGAGGAUGUCGAAGUAGGAUCAAUAACACCCAAAACACCCGCUGGAAUGAGUAUCGAACCACCGGAUGGCAGUCAAACGACUGAUUUGACCACCAGAAACCCUAGAAGUCGAAAACUCACCGAAAAAUCUCCAAAAAUUCUACAACAAUCGAUUUAACCGUUCAAGAGAGAAGAGAACAGUCAUAGAUCGUGAAGAUAAUGGCUUGAAACAGGCCCGAUCGGAGUCAAAAAACCAUCACUGACCUCUCGGUCUCAGAAAACCCCAAAACUUCAUCAGAGAACAGUUCAAAUGAACUAUUGGUUCAUAGAAAAAUUUCAUCGGAUCAUUGUGUAGGCUCUGAUACCAUGAAAACAUCGAAGAAAUCAUGAAAAUUUAGAGAGAGAAAGUAGAGAGAAGGAGGAGGAUUUGCAGAACUCUCUGGAACCUCAGAGAAGAUUUUUUUAUAAGAAAA